rfam:Alligator sinensis unplaced genomic scaffold scaffold61_1, whole genome shotgun sequence
CUAGCUCCUUGGCUUUGAGAACUGAAUUCCAUAGGCUUUAAAAGACAAAAAAAGCCCUAUGGAUUCAGUUCUGUAGCUGGGCGGCAAAUA